rnacentral:misc_RNA from 1 species
UACGGAGGGUGCAAGCAUUAAUCGGAUUUACUGGGCGUAAAGGGCGCGUAGGCGGAAAGGCAAGUCAAAUGUGAAAUUUCGGUACUCAACAUCGAAGCUGCAUUUGAAACUGCUUAUCUAGAGUGUAGGCGGAGGAAACGGAAUUCCAUGUGUAGCGGUGAAAUGUGUAGAUAUAUGGAAGAACACCUGUGGCGAAAGCGGUUUCCUAGCUUACCACUGACGCUGAGGCGCGAGAGCGGGGGUAGCAAACAGG